CAUGACUUUCUUUUCUUUCUAGGAAUGAUUAGCUCAUUUUAUACAUUUCAAAUAAUAUUUCCAAGCUGGUUUAAAGACAGCAUUGGUGUUUGUACCUUAGAUAAAUGACAGACAUUUGACUGUGCAACCCAAGCAUAAUAUUUGAAGAGAGGGGGAUCAAAACUACAUCAGCUUCAACUUGAAAUGAUUUCUGUCAGUACUCACUUCUUCACUGUGUUGCAUUUUUUAUUAACCUGUUUUGUCUCCUUAAAUUUCUUUGGAUAAUAGAACACAGUGAAGAGCAUUUCAGUGGAGUUACUGGAGGUGAUGGGCCUGACUCACCAUGACUGAAACUUGGAAAGAAUUAUGAUCUCUCUAAAAGUUAGUCGCACCAGAACUGUCCAAAUCUUAUCUGGGCACCUAGGAGAGAUGAGAGUCCCUCUGCUCAGGAGAAUGGGAUGCAAUAGUGGUAGCACCCCAUGGAGCAUGAAGGAAUUGCACAAGAUGCAGACAGAGGUGUUGUGUGUGUUUCAUUGCAGGCACUGGGAACUUCUCAAGGCAAGAACAGGCUGUUUGGAAAGUUGGUAUGGUGAUGCCACCCAGCUGUAAAUGUUGCUGCUUGUUCACAUUACCCUGCAAUUCCUUCAUUUUGGUUUUCUGCUUGAGUGGGACUGCAGCAGAGUUCUGACACAAUCUCAGCCAGGAAAAAAAAGCCUCAUUAAGGAGCUGGUACUCUGUGUUAGAGAGGAAGUUUUGCAUCAAGAGUGGUGGCCAGGACAAACAGCAGCUGUGAGCAGUCCCUUUUAACCUCAUUGCCCUGUCACUCCUCAGUGGGCAUUA